rnacentral:piRNA from 1 species
GUUUGAAGGAGAGCUCUUGCCUGAU